AGUGAACGCUGGUGGUAGGCCUAACACAUGCAAGUCGAACGGCAGCACAGUAAGAGCUUGCUCUUACGGGUGGCGAGUGGCGGACGGGUGAGGAAUACAUCGGAAUCUACUUUUUCGUGGGGGAUAACGUAGGGAAACUUACGCUAAUACCGCAUACGACCUACGGGUGAAAGCAGGGGAUCUUCGGACCUUGCGCGAUUGAAUGAGCCGAUGCCGGAUUAGCUAGUUGGCGGGGUAAAGGCCCACCAAGGCAACGAUCCGUAGCUGGUCUGAGAGGAUGAUCAGCCACACUGGAACUGAGACACGGUCCAGACUCCUACGGGAGGCAGCAGUGGGGAAUAUUGGACAAUGGGCGCAAGCCUGAUCCAGCCAUACCGCGUGGGUGAAGAAGGCCUUCGGGUUGUAAAGCCCUUUUGUUGGGAAAGAAAAGCAGCAGGUUAAUACCCCGCUGUUCUGACGGUACCCAAAGAAUAAGCACCGGCUAACUUCGUG
rnacentral:rRNA from 1 species